UUGUAAGGUCAUGGGUACCUAACUGUGCUGAAAAAGCAAUCUCAGAACACAUAAUUCUGUCCUGGCACUCAAUUCAGGCAGCUCCAGCUCUGGGCCACAACUCUCAUUUUCAGAGCUCUGUGAGGAAAUGCACAGAGGAUGGAGCAGAAGCCCUCUGUGAUCUCCUAAGUGGACUUUUUCUGUAAUACAGGUGAACAACUCACCUGAUAAUUUUUGCAUCAGUCCUGGAAGUGGUGGAGGAAAUGUGACAUGUCUUAGAAGGACCUUCAGCACAAAUCCUAGCUCUGUCAGAGGAAACUCCCUCCUCAGUCGGCAGGCUCUCUGACAGCUGGCUUCCACGGAUAUUUUUCACAAUGAACAGAUUUGAGAGCGCUCAGCAAGCAGGCACAGUUCACAGAAAACCACCAGCUCUCCUGACGAGUGGGUCCCCAAAGCAUCCCUGCUGCAGCUGGAAAACACUGUGCUUAGAUACCUCCAGGUUAUCCUCCGUGAUAGAGAGCACAAAGGAGAGCCAGGAACCGCCCACUACCAGCCAGGAGACUGCAAAAACAUGGAACCAGCUUAUCCUCCAAACUUUAUACAGAGUAAAGGAGACCACAGUAUCAUGCCCACGGCCUGAAGUUCAGCUAUAGGACAUUUAUAUCUCAGGAUUGUAAGGCUGAGACACAUAACUACAGCCUCUGUUGUGUUGAAGCUCUGCCGACAGCACUCCAUUUCUGCACCUGACAGAAUCCAGCAGCUCCUGUCAGGCACAAGCCUGCUGUUCAGAAACCUGCUGAGGACUAGGAGUGACCACCAGCUGCAUUAAUGGCUCUGGGAACAAAUGGUAGGGACCUACUGCCAUUUGCACACCCAUUGAAGCUUCUUGCAUAAGUUAAUGACAUAAGCUGAGCGAAAUUUGUCAUGACUUAAAUAGUCGAAGGACAAAGAAAAUAUUGUCAACACUAUUUAAUACAUAGAAAACGUCUCCAAUCAUGUAAGAAGAUACUACAUAUGAUAUCAGGUUAUGACAUUUUAUUAUUAGUUGACACUUAGUGAUAUUGUCUCAGGAAAGACAAAAACACCUCCAGGCUAUGUGAAAAGCAAUCAUGGAGCAGAAAGGCUGAUACCUUGUGUCAGAUUAACCAAAACCAUCCCACAGUUAAACACAAACAGAAACAAAACAAGCUUAACUAUCCACAUAGAAAUCAUGCAAAGCUUCCUCCUUUGCAGUAUGUGCCAUAUUCAUGGCAAAACAACCCUGCACUUUUCCCCAGAGAAUACUUUCACUGGUUCAGAACAAAGAAUCGGAGCACACCAGCUCUCACAGAUCCAAAAGAAAGGAAAAACCAGGUUUUAACUAGAAAACACUAAAAAUGUUGGGCUUAGCAUAACAAUACCAUUGUUCCUGUAUUAUUCUGUAAAUUUUCAUUUAAACAAGAUAAAUACUGCAGGAUAUUUCUCUGCAGUUUCUAAAUAAAAUAAUA